GUACCUGGCCAGGACGAUUAACGGGCAGGCUAGGAGUUUCGGUAGGGAGAUCGGAAUUUCCUGGUGUAGCGGUGAAAAUGCGCAGAUCAGGAGGAACACCGCGAAGGCGGAUCUGGGCCAUACUGACGCUGAGGAGCGAAAGCGUGGGGAGCAACAGGAUAGAUACCCUGGUAGCCAGCCGUAAACGGUGGGCACUAGUGUGGGCGACAUUCCCGUCGUCGUGCCGCAGCUAACGCAUUAAGUGCCCCGCCUGGGGAGUACGGCCGCAAGGCUAAAACUCAAACGGGGGCCCGCACAAGCGGCGGAGCAUGUGGCUGUAAUUCGACGCAACGCGAAGAACCUUACCAAGGCUUGACAUACACCGGAAAGCAUCAGAGAUGGUGCCCCCCUUGUGGUCGGUGUACAGGUGGUGCAUGGCUGUCGUCCGAGCUCGUGUCGUGAGAUAGUCCCGGACAACGAGCGCAACUGUCCCGUGUUGCCAGCAAGCCCUUCGCGGGUGUUGGGGACUCACGGACCGAGACCGCCGGGGUCAACUCGGAGGAAGGUGGGGACGACGUCAAGUCAUCAUGCCCCUUAUGUCUUGGCUGCACCGUGCUACAAUGGCCGGUACAAUGAGCUGCGAUACCGCGAGGUGGAGGAAUCUCAAAAAGCCGGUCUCAGUUCGGAUUGGGGUCUGCAACUCGACCCCAUGAAGUCGGAGUCGCUAGUAAUCGCAGAUCAGCAUUGCUGCGGUGAAUACGUUCCCGGGCCUUGUACACACCGCCCGUCACGUCACGAAAGUCGGUAACACCCGAAGCCGGUGGCCCAACCCCUUGUGGGAGGGAGCUGUCGAAGGUGGGACUGGCGAUUGGGACGAAGUCGCGUCAGGGAGCAUUAUGGC
rnacentral:rRNA from 1 species